UACAGAGGUCUCAAGCGUUGUUCGGAUUCAUUGGGCGUAAAGGGUGCGUAGGUGGUGCUGUAAGUCAGGUGUGAAAUCUCGGGGCUCAACCCCGAAACUGCACUUGAUACUGCAGUGCUCGAGGACUGGAGAGGAGAUUGGAAUUCAUGGUGUAGCAGUGAAAUGCGUAGAUAUCAUGAGGAACACCGGUGGCGAAGGCGGGUCUCUGGGCCGAUACUGACGCUGAGGAGCGAAAGCGUGGGGAGCAAACAGG
rnacentral:rRNA from 1 species